GCCGAGCGUUGUAGCGGGCGCCUGUGGUCCCAGCUACUUGGGAGGCAGAGGCAGGAGACUCGCUUGAGCCCAGGAGUUGGAGGUUGCUGUGAGCUGAAAUGCCACAGCACUCUACCCAGGGGGACAGCUUGAGGCUCUGUCUCAAAAAAAAAAAAAAAAAAAAAAAGAUAAAAAUUGAGAUAUAUCAUCAUUUAAAAAUUUUUUUCACUCAUGCAUACAGAGUCUCAAGCUGUCACCCUGGGUAGAGUGCUGUGGCAUCAUAGCUCACAGCAAUCUCCAACUCUUGGGCUCAAGCGAUACUCUUGCCUCAG
rfam:Otolemur garnettii contig060750, whole genome shotgun sequence.